rnacentral:misc_RNA from 1 species
CUUCCCCCCCCCUUUAUUUCCUCCCAUUUUAUUUUAUCUUGGCUUCACAGUUCACACAUAUUUAUUGUGGUUUUUGAAACAUUUUUAGAUGUCAGGAUUAUUUAACAUUAUUGCAUUAGCAUGGGGUGCACAUUCAUUGGAUCUUGUAGAUUUUGAGAAUUAUUUGCAAUUAAAACAUGGGACUUGAGGAGGCUACUAUCAAUCUGUUAUGUUGAAUGCUGUUUUAUGUUGAUUAAGAAAUCCAUUCAAGUUGUACACAAAAGAUGAUGCCUAAUUUUACAGCCAAUCUUAUUCCAACCUCCAAACAAUAAAUUCCAAUUAUUUGUUUCCGUUUCUCUUGUAGUCAGAGCGUGCAGAAUUGCUGGG